GGAGGGGGCUAGCGUUGUUCGGAUUUACUGGGCGUAAAGGGCGCGUAGGCGGUAUGCCAUGUCAGGGGUGAAAGGCCUGGGCUCAACCCAGGAACUGCCUUUGAAACUGGCAAACUAGAGUCCGAUAGAGGAUGGCGGAAUUCCCAGUGUAGAGGUGAAAUUCGUAGAUAUUGGGAAGAACACCAGUGGCGAAGGCGGCCAUCUGGAUCGGCACUGACGCUGAGGCGCGAAAGCGUGGGGAGCAAACAGGAUUAGAUACCCUGGUAGUCCACGCCGUAAACGAUGUGUGCUAGACGUUGGGGGGCCUUAGGCCCUGGGUGUCGCAGCUAACGCGUUAAGCACACCGCCUGGGGAUACGGCCGCAAGGUUG
rnacentral:rRNA from 1 species